rnacentral:sRNA from 1 species
CAUGAAUGGGGUACGUGUCCGUGGGACUCUCCUGGCACCCACUUCCCCCAGAAGGAUAGGGUGGCCUCUGUUCAUUUCAAAUCAGUCAGAGGUGGCUGAGCCUGAGGCGGCAUCUGAGAGGGAGCUUGGUUGGAGGAGGGAGGGCCCCCGAAGAGCAGAAUCACCAUGCACGGGAAUCGCCAUUCACUGGCUGGGAUGCAGUUGCCAGCCAGGCCCUGAGCAUCCCUCCUCAAACAAAGGUCUCAUGGCACCACCAGGACAGGUGGGGCCUCCACUUGGGGACCUGGGGGCUGCCCAUAGAAAUGGAGACCCCUGAUUUGUCUUUAGGUACCCCAGAAAGGUUUAGACUUUAAAAGUAAUGACACACCCAAAAAGGCCCAGGUAUAAAUGGUAACAUGUUAAUAUUUGAGAUUCUUGGCUUUUUCUUAUAUUAUUGUUAGUCUUUCCCACUUAAUUUUUAAUUGUUACUAAGAAAGAGAAAGCCGGGCACAGUGCACCUAUAGUCUCAGCUACUCUGGAGUCUGAGGCAGGAGAAUCACUGGAACCCAAAAGUUCGAUUACAGCCUGAGCAACAUAGCAAGCUCCUAUAUCUGAAAAAAAAAAGCAAGCAAGCAAGAGAAGCAGCGGGGAUUUUAGGAGGUGGUUCUGCAGAAGCCAGUCCUUUACGCCAUCUUCAACAAUCCUGGCUCUUGCUGAAGUAGACUAGGGGCUUCCCCGAGGGGCGGCUCCACCUCAUGCUGAGCCCUCUGCAUGCCUUGGGGGUGGAAAUAUUUGAUGAGACUCCCAGGGGCCCUUGGGACCUUGGGCUAUGAGGACCAGGAGCAUUAAAGGACUGUGCCCCUUCUCCCCACUAUAGAUUGAAGUAAAGCUCUCGGUCAAGUUCAAUAGCAGGGAGUUCAGCUUGAAGAGGAUGCCGUCCCGAAAACAGACGGGGGUCUUCGGAGUCAAGAUUGCUGUGGUCACCAAGAGAGAGAGGUCCAAGGUGCCCUAUAUCGUGCGCCAGUGUGUGGAGGAGAUCGAGCGCCGAGGCAUGGAGGAGGUGGGCAUCUACCGCGUGUCCGGAGUGGCCACGGACAUUCAGGCACUGAAGGCAGCCUUCGACGUCAGUGAGUGUCGGCCUGGGGAGGACAGAAUGAAGGUGUGGGCAGUGGUGUCCACGAUGAGAUCUCAGAGCGCUCCAUGGCCUGGAUAACAAGGACGUGUCGGUGAUGAUGAGCGAGAUGGACGUGAACGCCAUCGCAGGCACGCUGAAGCUGUACUUCCGUGAGCUGCCUGAGCCCCUCUUCACUGACGAGUUCUACCCCAACUUCGUAGAGGGCAUCGCUCUUUCAGACCCGGUUGCAAAGGAGAGCUGCAUGCUCAACCUGCUGCUGUCCCUGCCGGAGGCCAACCUGCUCACCUUCCUUUUCCUUCUGGACCACCUGAAAAGGGUGGCAGAGAAGGAGGCAGUCAAUAAGAUGUCCCUGCACAACCUUGCCACGGUCUUUGGCCCCACGCUGCUCCGGCCCUCCGAGAAGGAGAGCAAGCUCCCUGCCAACCCCAGCCAGCCCAUCACCAUGACUGACAGCUGGUCCUUGGAGGUCAUGUCCCAGGUCCAGGUGCUGCUGUACUUCCUGCAGCUGGAGGCCAUCCCUGCCCCGGACAGCAAGAGACAGAGUAUCCUGUUCUCCACCGAAGUCUAAAGGUCCCAGUCCAUCUCUAGGAGGCGAACAGACGGCCUGGAAACCUCUGGCUAAUCGGGCCAUCCGUAGAGCGGGAACCUUCCUGAGGUGUCCUUGGGCCACCCCCAAGUGUCGGGCCAUCUGCCAAGAGACAGCGACCCAAAGCCGAAGGACAGGUGGACUGGACAGAUCCUGCUCAGGUCUGGGAGCCCCAGGCUGGCCUCAGACUGUGGUUUUUCCAUGAGGCCACCUGAGGGCGCCCCAAGCCAGUGCAUCUCAGAGGCCAGGCCUGGCCCUGGGAGACAGGGUGAAGGGAGUGGUUUUUAAGAACUUAACUUACAGAGUUUAAAAGAUUUCUACUGGAUCACUUGUCAAGAUGCGCCCUCUCUGGGGAGAAGGGAACGUGACUGGAUUCCCUCACUGUUGUAUCUUGAAUAAACGCUGCUGCUUCAUCCUGUGGGGGCCGUGGCCCUGUCCCUGUGUGGGUGGGGCCUCUUCCAUUUCCCUGACUUAGAAACCACACUCCACUUAGAACAGGGUUUGAGAGGCUUAGUCAGCACUGGGUAGCAUUUUGACUCCAUUCUUGGCUUUCUUCUUUUUCUUUCCAGAAGGAUUUUUGUGCAAAAAUGGGUCUUUUGUUGCCGUGUUAGUGCUCCUUGGAAGGCAGCUCAGAAGGCCUGUGAAAUGUCAGGGAACAGGACCCCCAGGGAGGGAAUCCCAGGCUACGCACUUUAGGGUUCAUUCUCCAGGGAGAGCGACCUCGUCCCCCGAUCCUGACCGCCCUUCCGGCCCACGCUCUCCUGUUUGGCUUCCACAGGCCUGGACUUCUCUGGCUUCUCUGCCCACACCACUCCUGCCCCAGUGUCCUGCCCCUGCCGCAGCACAGGUGACUUCAUUUCUGUCCUCUCAGCUCAGUGGACUCGCUCAGCUUUUGUAUAAGUCUCCACUUGGUGAUAGCAGCUUGCUGAUGACUUGUUUUAAAACUUUCUUCCUAAAUAACCUUUUGAUACUUGAAUAUUUUUAAGUUUUAUACGUAGUUUCUAAUUUUUUUUUCCUAACAGAUUCAGAUACCUAAUAAGAUGCUAGAAUGUAGUCCGUGGACAAUCCGUGUCCUGGCAGCAUUUGGUCUUCCUCUAAGCACCUGGCUUCACUGUUCUCAGGAGUGGGUUCCGAAGUUUCUGGAGAACAGGAUACGUGGAGGGUUAGGAAGGGGCCAGGCCUAGAGACGGGAGACUCCCUCCCAGAGCAGGUGGAGGCACAGGACCAUUUGCUACCCCAUCUGCUGGCACCUGUGGGGGAGCCCAGGCAUUCUUUGUAAACCAUCCUGACCACCUGGCUCAAAGAAAACAGAAGCGUGGAGGCCGCCAAGUAUUUUUGAGAAAUAACCCCAUGAACAUUGCAUCACUUUUUUAGAAAGAGGGGCUUGGGGCAGGCAGAGGAGAGAAGGGAGAGCAAACUGAGAGCCAGGUCUCCAGACGGUCCUGCAGGAGGAGAGGAUGCAGCUGCCCAGAGGGAAGCAGGAUCGCAUUCAAGAAAGUGAGUGGGGUCCCUGGAUGACACCAGCACCCAGUGCGGCUGUGUCCGCUGACCUCUCCCAAGGUGGGAGGAGUGGGUGUCCCCUGUGUUUCAGUGGGCAGCUCCUGCUGAGCCAGCAGCUCAUCAGGGAGCCUGACAGAGGGGCCAUGCGCCUGACACUCCUCUCUGCUUGUGGACCUGGUGAGGCAGGGAGCAGAAAACAGAGCCACUUGAAGGCUUUCUGUCUGCGUCUGUGUGUGGUGUGGGUUUAGUUUUGCUUUUUUCUUGCUGGGAGAGCACAGCCACCGUUUACAAGCAGUGUCACCCCGUGGGUGGCGAGGACAGAAUAGGAGCUCUGCUCUCUGUACCUAUCUGGGCCAGGUGGGGCUCCCGUGGCCCUGGCUUCCAUUCUGUCUCAGCGACCAUUCAGCCCUGCGCAGGAACACAUGUUGCUUAGAAAAGCCAAACCAGCCCUUGUCUCGGUCCUCCUCUGGUCUCAUGAUGUGCUCUGUUACCUGGAAACUGGAAACCAGUCUAUCAAUGUCUGUGCCAAUUUUUUAUUCCCUCCCAAACCUCCUUCCCCAUACGACUUUUUAUUUAUGUAGGAUGUGUGCUGUCUAUGAUGGGAUGACCACACUUUCCAUGUUCUAAAGUGCUCCUCUCCCACAGGGUCCAGGGCUGAUGGUUGCUUUGGGCCUACAGCCUACGUCUUACCGCCUCCUGCCUCAAAACCCUGUGUGGUGGCAAAGCAGUGUGGGGCUGGGGAACGCAGCGUUCUCCAGGAGGGGGACCGGUCUCCUGUAAUGCAGGCGAAGGCCUAGAUGCCAGUGUGACCUCCACAGGCAUGGCUUCCAACUCCCGACCAGAAAUGAUGCUUUUUUUGCCUCGGGUCCGGGGUUUGAAGCAGCCUGGCUUUCUCUCGGUAAGUGGCUGGUGUCUUAAGCAGCUGCAAUCUGAGCUCAGCCACCUCAACCACCGUGGGGGAAAGAAUGCUGAGACUUUCAUUAAAAAGUUUCCUGAGA